GACGAACCCUGGCGGCGUGCCUAAUACAUGCAAGUCGAACGCUUUUUCUUUCACCGGAGCUUGCUCCACCGAAAGAAAAAGAGUGGCGAACGGGUGAGUAACACGUGGGUAACCUGCCCAUCAGAAGGGGAUAACACUUGGAAACAGGUGCUAAUACCGUAUAACACUAUUUUCCGCAUGGAAGAAAGUUGAAAGGCGCUUUUGCGUCACUGAUGGAUGGACCCGCGGUGCAUUAGCUAGUUGGUGAGGUAACGGCUCACCAAGGCAACGAUGCAUAGCCGACCUGGGAGGGUGAUCGGCCACAGUGGGACUGAGACACGGCCCAGACUCCGACGGGAGGCAGCAGUAGGGAAUCUUCGGCAAUGGACGAAAGUCUGACCGAGCAACGCCGCGUGAGUGAAGAAGGUUUUCGGAUCGUAAAACUCUGUUGUUAGAGAAGAACAAGGAUGAGAGUAAAACGUUCAUCCCUUGACGGUAUCUAACCAGAAAGCCACGGCUAACUACGUGCCAGCCGCCGCCGUAA
rnacentral:rRNA from 1 species